ensembl:lncRNA
UUCCUAGGAUGCAUCCUUCGAAUGCGUCGACGCCGAUUGCGUCACAGCGACGCGCCAAGUGCUGUCCCAAUUCCAAGGGUCCUUCAAAUGCGGCCUACGAAUGCAGCCUGCUUUUCCCGGAUUUCAAGGAUGCAUCGGCUGUAUCCUUCACGGCCCAACGUAUCCCAAGAUCCUUCACGGCCCAACGUAUCCCUCCCAAGAUUCAUUGCGCAUUCAAUCAAAAAAAUAAAACCGACAGAAACAAUGGCGGAGAAUGUCGAUUUGAGUUUUUCAUUUAAAUGGAGCCAGCAGCAUACUGCUCAAUUUAUUAAACUGGGGUUGAAACAUUCAGCGAAUGUGGCUUGGGGGAUUGCAAGUAUCCAGGGUCAGGAGAGGGGGUAGGUGGGAAACCCACUGCUGCCACUUGGCCCUGGUUUGUCCUCAUGGAUGAGGUAUUGGGACAGAGGCAUUCCACCAACCCCCCUGUCCUAAUUGCCUCCAUCCCUGAGAACACACCAGGGCCAAGUACAGCAGUGGUGGAUCAGGAGGUGGAGGACAAGGAUGAGGAGGAAAGACAGCGGCCAAGGUCCAGAAAGAGGGACAGAGAGGACGAAAUGUUCCAAUUGAUCAAAGAGGACAUGAGGCUAAAUAGGGAGGCAGAGGAGAGAAGAGCCCAGGAGAGCAGGGAGAGGAUGGAUCGAUUUUUUUCAAUUUUGGAGCGUUUGGUUGACAAAUAAUUUCAGUUCUGUUAACACAUUGUUUAUUAUUUAACUUAUUUAACUAUUUAUUAUUUAACUUAUUUAACUAUUUAUUAACUAACUUUUUUAUUAACUAUUUAUUAAAAC